rnacentral:rRNA from 1 species
GGAAUUUUCCGCAAUGGGCGAAAGCCUGACGGAGCAAUACCGCGUGAAGGAUGACGGCCUAUGGGUUGUAAACUUCUUUUCUCAGAGAAGAAUUUUGACGGUAUCUGAGGAAUAAGCAUCGGCUAACUCUGUGCCAGCAGCCGCGGUAAGACAGAGGGUGCAAGCGUUGUUCGGAAUUAUUGGGCGUAAAGCGUGCGUAGGCGGACCGUUAAGUCUGAUGUGAAAUCCCUCGGCUCAACCGAGGACGUGCAUUGGAUACUGGCGGUCUUGAGUCUCGGAGAGGAGAGCGGAAUUCCUAGUGUAGAGGUGAAAUUCGUAGAUAUUAGGAGGAACACCAGUGGCGAAAGCGGCUCUCUGGACGAUGACUGACGCUGAGGCACGAAAGCAUAGGUAGCAAACAGGAUUAGAUACCCCUGUAGUC